AUCACUUCUCUGCUUUUUGGCUAAGAUCAAGUGUAGUAUCUGUUCCUAUCAGUUUAAAACGGUGAUUGUGAUGAAGUCUUUUGAAUACACUGGCGUCCAAACAUUUUACCACAUUUUAUUAUACAAAUGUUCAUGUUCACACUUUUUUAACAGUGUGUCAUGUAUUUCAAAGAAAUCUGAUGUGGAGCCCAA